UACGAAGGGGGCUAGCGUUGCUCGGAAUCACUGGGCGUAAAGCGCACGUAGGCGGACUCUUAAGUCGGUGGUGAAAUCCUGGAGCUCAACUCCAGAACUGCCUUCGAUACUGGGAGUCUCGAGUCCGGGAGAGGUGAGUGGAACUGCGAGUGUAGAGGUGAAAUUCGUAGAUAUUCGCAAGAACACCAGUGGCGAAGGCGGCUCACUGGCCCGAUACUGACGCUGAGGCACGGAAGCGUGGGGAGCAAACAGG
rnacentral:rRNA from 1 species